rnacentral:lncRNA from 1 species
GAAAACAUUGACGUGUAGCUAAUUUUACUUGACAAAAAAUAAUUUUUUUUGUUAUAGAAAAAUUCGACCGAACUCUAAUUUAGAGUUGCCUAUAUACCUCAAGUUAAUGAGGAUCAGGUCGAGUGUAGUUCAAAAGAAUAGGCAUAUUGUCUCUUGCCUUUUUAUUAGGGGCGAAUGUUUAUUUAGAGGAGGACUGUGUGGGAACAAAAGUAUUCACAUAUUCCCGAUGCUCCCUUUGAAAUUGCCCCAGUAUCGAGUUGUUAGAUGUUGGGGAUGAAAGAUUGUGUACCUGCUAGGGAGAAAUAAUGAUUGUGGGGUUGUAAUGACUGAACUCUGGAUAGAGCUUCCUACAUAUCUUGGGUGUCACGAGAAUCAGGUCAAUGUAGUUCGAAAUGAGAAAAUAGAAAAUUUUAGGGCGAUUCUCAAAAUUUGCCCUAGUGUAUGAUGUGGGAUUUGAAAAAAAGUGUUGUUGUUCUGAAUUGUACCUUUCGUUGAAAAGAUGUAUGAUGUGUCCGAUUGUCUACGGGGACUUGAGGAUGAAUGACGGGCGUCUUCGAUUAUUUGCGAAAAUUGAUGUUGAUGAAUGAAAG